rnacentral:lncRNA from 1 species
CAAAAAUAAUUACUAGCUUUUUAUACUCACCAAUAUCUGUCUAAAAUCUCACAGAUUUUUAUUUUGCAGUAGCCUUUGAAGUAUUGAAGACAAGUAACAGGAUUCUCUCAGUCCUCUCUUGGCUAAAUAAGUCAAUUAUUUCAGUAGCCUAAAGAAUAUUGAUUGUGAAUACUGCUAUUCCCAUCAUACUUGAAGUCCAGUUUCAAAAGAAGGAAUGGAGGACAUGGCAUUUCUAGCCUUACCAGCACUGUAUUUACUUAGAGAUGUCACUUCUGUUACCUAUUUAUUUGCUCUUUCCUCGGAAGAGAAAUGUUGUUGACAAGACCUCCCUGUGGUGUUCUGUGUAUUAACUUGGAGUCAAGCUGGAAUUCCUGUCUGCCAGCCUGCACUGUCUCAUGAAAUGUAGAAGGAAUGAUGAAUUGUUGUCACUUGUUUUGCUGCUGCACCUUGAGAAGCCUACUCAAUCAUUCUUCAGGGUUGUUCCAAGCACACAUAUGAACUUCCGGCUGAAGAGAGAAUUGGAUCCAACUCUUCAUUUUCAAGCUGAGCUCUCUGCCCUGUAGGCUGUUCAGAAAAUACCACAUGCUUUUAUACUUUGAAAGGGAGUGUCCUCAACAUCUUCCUUUGAUGGGAAAAUAUGUGCAACAUGCAACAAUCAUACCCAGAGAAAUGGACCUCCUAUGCAUUCCUCCAUCUAGUUCUUGACAGCAGAAGUGUUUGUGCAGGCUAUAUGCACUUCACGCUAUAUUCUGUAUGCAUGAACUCUUAAGUGUUCCAGGAAUUUGAACGAACAGGUGCCAAAUGAAUUCGGAUUCCCAUAUUAAUGGAUAGCUGGACGGGACUACAGAGAGAGAAUUUAUUUCUGCUUCAGAACCGUUUUAGUGACUGUAUGGCUUACUGCAUCAUGCCAAAUAGAUUAAGCUUGUAAACAGAAACAUUUGCUGUUUGGGACACGGGAUAUUUUCGUGGCGGGGUUUUUUUUUUUUUUUUUUUUUUUUUUUUUUAAUGAUAAACUCUCUGCUACCAUCUUGCGGUAAACUGUGGGAAGUGACAUCAAGGACAGACGUUUCUUUUAAGUGGGAGUCAUGGGUUGAAACUUCAUACCAUACUGGGAGUGUUGUACUAAUAAAAUAUUGAGAGUAUAAUGUAACA